rnacentral:rRNA from 1 species
CGUAGGGUGCAGGCGUUAAUCGGAAUUACUGGGCGUAAAGCGUGCGCAGGCGGCUCCUUAAGUCAGAUGUGAAAUCCCCGGGCUUAACCUGGGAACUGCGUUUGAAACUGGGGAGCUCGAGUGUGGAAGAGGGGGUGGAAUUCCAGGUGUAGCAGUGAAAUGCGUAGAGAUCUGGAGGAACACCGAUGGCGAAGGCAGCCCCCUGGGCUAACACUGACGCUCAUGCACGAAAGCGUGGGGAGCAAACAGGAUUAGAUACCCUGGUAGUCCACGCCCUAAACGAUGUCAACUGGUUGUCGGGGAAGCAAUUCCUUGGUAACGAAGCUAACGCGUGAAGUUGACCGCCUGGGGAGUACGGCCGCAAGGUUA